rnacentral:rRNA from 1 species
AUGCAACUCGUCUCCUGCGGUCGGACCGCGGUUAACAUUAAUGGUGAGGUCGGGCCUUUCUUCCCCACUCUCUGUGGGGUUCGCCAGGGCGACCCAUUCUCCCCGUUUAUGUUUAACAUGGUGGCCGAUGCCCUUGCGGUCAUGCUGGAUAAGGCCAAAUCUGCUGGCCAUAUCCACGGCAUUGUCCCCCACCUGGUAGGAGGGGGAGGGGUCUCCCUCCUACAAUAUGCAGACGACACCAUAAUAAUGGUUGAAGGCUCCGCGACCGACAUAGCCAACCUAAAUUUUCUCCUCCUAUGCUUCAAACAAAUGUCCGGGCUCACUAUCAACUUCGAUAAGAGCGAAGUGAUGAUCCUUGGCUAUCCUCCGGAGGAGGCCCAGGCCAUAGCUGAUCGGCUAAACUGCCGCCUGCGUACUUUUCCCACGACUUAUUUGGGGAUACCCAUUAGUGACUCGCGACUCACCGUGGCUGACCUCCGCCCGACAGUGACCCGGAUGCAGCACCGGGUCGAGCCCUGGAAGGGGAGGUGGCUCUCGAAGGCGGCCCGGGUAAUCCUCAUCAACUCCUCGCUUGCCAGCCUCCUAUGGUCCUCAUGA